rnacentral:lncRNA from 1 species
AUUUUAUUUUAAUAAGGUCUGGACAUAUUUAUACUCAGUAAUAUUGUAUAGACAUAGAAAAUGUUAACCUUAAAUAAUGAGAUUCAGAAAAUAUAAUUAGUUAUAGAGUAUAUUCUAGCUCAAAGCUUGAGAAUAGCCACCUAGUAUUGCAGUGAGUUGUGAUUGUGCCCUUGUGCUCCAGAUUAGGUGACAGAGUGAGAUAUAUCUGAUAAAGGACUUCCAUCCAGACUACAUAAAAACUCUUAGAAUUCAAAAAUUUUAAAAAAAUUAAAAAUGGACAAAGGAUCUGAAUAGUCCUAACCACUAGGAUGGCUAGAAUCCUACGUCUGAUACUAUCACAUGUUGGUGAGAAACACCAACACUGGAUAAAUCAGUACCUUCAUACACUACUGGUAAGAAUGUAUGAUCAUGCAGCUGCUUUGGAAAACAGUCUAGCAGUUUCUCAAAUAAUUAAAUAUGGUGUUAUCAAAUAACUCAGCAAUUCCACUGCUAGAUUUCACCCCAAAUAAAUAAAAACUUAUGUCUACAUAGCAACUUGUAUAAGGAUAUUUACAGAAACACUAUUUGUAACAGCCAAAAGGUGGAAACAAACUAAAUGUGCAUCAACUGAUGAACAGAUAAACAAAAGGUUGUAUAGCAAUACAAUGAAAUACUACUCAGCCAUAAAAAGGAAUAUAGUACUGAUAUGUUCUACAACACAGAUGAACCGUAAAAAUAGCAUGCUAAGUGCCAGAAGCCAGUCACAACAUACCACCUAUUAUACAAUUGUAUUUAUAUGAAAGUCCAAAACAAGGAAAUCUGUAGAGACAAAGUAGAUUGGUAG